UACGGAGGGUGCAAGCGUUAUCCGGAUUUACUGGGUUUAAAGGGUGCGUAGGUGGGCAAGUAAGUCAGUGGUGAAAUCUCCGGGCUUAACCCGGAAACUGCCAUUGAUACUAUUUGUCUUGAAUACUGUGGAGGUCAGCGGAAUAUGUCAUGUAGCGGUGAAAUGCUUAGAUAUGACAUAGAACACCUAUUGCGAAGGCAGCUAACUACGCGAAUAUUGACGCUGAGGCACGAAAGCGUGGGGAUCAAACAGG
rnacentral:rRNA from 1 species